CCGACUUUAGCUCAGUUGGAAGAGCGCGAGACUGUAAUGGAUACAUAUGAUUACGUAAUAAGUUUGAUCUUGAGGUCGCUUGUUCGAACCAGGUAAGUUGGA